rnacentral:rRNA from 1 species
GGACUACCGGGGUUUCUAAUCCUGUUUGCUCCCCACGCUCUCGCGCUUCAGCGUCAGUAUUUGUCCAGGUAGCCGCCUUCGCCACUGGUGUUCCUUCCGAUCUCUACGCAUUUCACCGCUACACCGGAAAUUCCACUACCCUCUACAAUACUCUAGUCUCGCAGUAUGAAAUGACCUUCCUAGGUUAAGCCCAGGGAUUUCACAUCUCACUUACUUGACCGCCUACGCGCCCUUUACGCCCAGUAAUUCCGAUUAACGCUUGCACCCUCUGUAUUACCGCGGCUGCUGGCAC